GAGUCAUUGGGACUCUGAUAAACCUAAAGGCGCAAUGAAAGUGAAGGUCCGCCUCGCGCGGACCGAGGGAGGAUGGGUUCGUUUACGAACGAGCCCCGCACUCCCGGGGCGUCUCGUACUCAUCGCGAGUUGAGGCGCACCCAGAGCGUACACGCUGGGACCCGAAAGAUGGUGAACUAUGCCUGGUCAGGACGAAGUCAGGGGAAACCCUGAUGGAGGUCCGUAGCGAUUCUGACGUGCAAAUCGAUCGUCGGAACUGGGUAUAGGGGCGAAAGACUAAUCGAACCUUCUAGUAGCUGGUUCCCUCCGAAGUUUCCCUCAGGAUAGCUGGCGCUCGCAUUGCGAGUCUCAUUCGGUAAAGCGAAUGAUUAGAGGCAUUGGGGUCGAAACGGCCUCAACCUAUUCUCAAACUUUAAAUGGGUGAGAUCUCCGGCUUGCUUAAAACUUGAAGCCGCGAGAUUAUCGGAUCAACGAGUGCCAAGUGGGCCACUUUUGGUAAGCAGAACUGGCGCUGUGGGAUGAACCAAACGCCGAGUUAAAGCGCCAAAAUCGACGCUUAUGGGAUACCAUGAAAGGCGUUGGUAACUUAAGACAGCAGGACGGUGG
rnacentral:rRNA from 1 species